AUGCCAACACCAUGCGGGCUUCAUUACUGUAGCUGUAAAGCCCAACUUGAGAUCAGUGAUGGCGAUCCCCCCAGCAAUCUUUUAUUGUUUUAGCGAUCCCGGGCUUGCUUUUAUCCAUGAAGUCGAGAAUUGUCCUUUCGAGGUCUGUGAAGGAUCGUGUGGGAUUCUGAUGGGAAUUGAACUGAUCGAAUCUGUAAAAUUGCUUUUGGUAAGAUGGCCAUUUUCACUGUGUGAAUCCUGUUGCUCCUUGAGCAAUGGGGGAAUCUUUCCAUCUUCUGAGAUCUUCUCCAAUUCUUUCUGCAGAGACUGGAAGCUCUUGUCAUACAGAUCUUUCACAUGCUUGGUUAGAGUCACACCAAGACGUUUUUGUACUAUCUGAGGCUGUUGUGAAGAGUGUUUUCCCCUGAAUUCUUCCUCAGUCUACGUGUCAUUUGUAUUAUAGGAGGGCUACUGAGUUUUGUUUUGUUUUUGAGUUAAUCCCUGUACCCAGUCGCUUUAUUGAAAGUGCUGAUCAGCUGUAGGAUAAAAAUUAUGUCACUUAUGUAUUGUCAUACAUCUGCAAAUAAUAACACUUUGAACUCUUCCUUUUCAAUUUGUACUCCCUCGGUCUCCUUCUAGCUCUAGCUAAAACGUCAGGUACUAUAUUGAAUAGCUAUGGAGAGAGUGGACAACCUGGCCUUGUUACUGAUUGAGUUACUCUCUACUUAAUCCCAUGUUGGCUGUAGGCUUGCUUUAAACUACUUUUAUUAUGAUGAGGCUUGUAGUCCUAACCUGUCCAGUACUUUUAUCAUGAAGGAUGUCACACUUUGUCAAAGGCCCUCUCCGCGUCUAGUGAGAGGACCAUCACACCUUAGAGUUUCACGUUUGUUAAUUCAGUGUUGAGUAAGAUGCUGGGCACCUGCAUUUCUGCUGACAAAGAGAUUUGCAGUGUUGUAUCUUCCCCUGUGCUCUGUUUUUUUUUUUUUUUAAUCUUAUUUGUUGUUAUUUUAGUCUUCCCAGGAGAAAGUUUUUCUUCUAUUCUUAUUUUAACAAACCGUUAUCAAGAAUGUGUGCUUCUGUGGCAUUUCUGUGAGUUUUGAGAGCAUAUGGUUCUUUUCUUCCUCCCAUCUAUGAGGAGGGGCAAUGGUAUUGAACCAACAUGCUCGCACAGAAGUCGCUGGUUUGGCUUGCUGUCAUCUGUGUGGGAACUGCGCACAUACACAAAUCUGUACCAUUGACACGCGUUGCUCAUGACGUCCUCUGUUAUCACAGCACGGAACGCGUGACUGAGUCUGUCCACAUCGGUGAAGUCCAGCUCACAGGCACCCUUGCAGUCGCCCUUCCCACCGUUUGGUGAUCAGCUGUGUCCGAACAGCUUCUGCUCACACUAGAACAAGCGGAGACAGAAUGGAAACGGUUUUCUGCAAGUGGAGGGCAAACUAAGGAGGAAGAAUGCAAGCCCGGCUUCUCCUUCACUGGCCUCUUCUUUCCAGACCGAUGUAGGCAGCAGCCAUGAAGCUUCAAAUCAAUGAUGGCCUCGUGGCAUGAAGGAUGUUCAAGAUAGCUCCUAGCACAAGAGUCUUCUGCAUUUAUCAUACAUAGUCUGUGAAGACAGCUCAGGAAGACCAGAGACCCAUCAUGGAAUAACAGUAGAAAAGCACAAGGUGUGACCCCUGCAUGUUUCCUGGCUUCUGACGAACAGCAAUGCCCACAGUUAUGUCUUCAGGGAUGGACCCCUGACUCUGAGGCUCCCCUGCUCUUAUUGGCUACCUUCCAGAACAGAGUAAUAACUCUACAGAUGCCUCAUUCAGGACUGCUGUUGCCCGAGGGGACCUUGGACGUUGCCCUACCUCAAAGCCUGGUAUCCAUAUCAGGCUUUAAUUUUUUAAAAUAUCAGUUACACAUGUGACAAGAGAACAAAGAAAGACAAGACCACAACUCAGGAAUCAGUGAUCUAAUGAAGGACAGGCCCCUGUGUGCCCCACAUAAAGGGGCACACACAUCCGUUAGGGACACUCAGGACCACGCGGUGAGGUCAGUAGCAACUACAGAGGCCAUUGUCGGUGGCUUGUUUGUCUCCCUUCAAUUUGAGAGCUCCAAAUACUGCAAUGGCAGGUGGAUACCACCAUGCCCAACUUCAGAAUCCAUCCUUGGAGAGAUUUAUUCUUCCUUGACCAUCACUGCUGACCUAUUCAAAGGGAGAAAAAACACUUAUGAAAUUA